rnacentral:ncRNA from 24 species
AACGACCGGCCGGACACGUGUGUGCCCGGCCCACAAGUGGAGGCUCCGUACUCCCACCUGACCACCCUCACGGGUGGCGGGUCACCGGUCAGGUGGCGCCCAUCGUUCCGUACGGACGAUGGAGCCGCCCGAUGUGCGCCCCGCGGUUGACCGCGGCGGUGCUCCGGUAUUUCCGUGGAGCCCCGCCUGUGUCCCGUCCGGGGCGUUUUUC